AAAGAAAACACGCGUGUAUUUCGAUUAAAUUUGACCAUUUGCUGCGUAAGAAAUUCUAGUGCGUGCGUUUAGGAUUUUACCGUUAACGAAUAUCGGUUGAAUCCUGGAAGCUGGAGAUUUGGCGGAAAGAAAAACGAAAGCGAGCUUAUGGAGUAGGAGUGCAUAUUUGACAGGAAAGUGCAUCGGCAGCCAGUGGUUCCUGUUUCAUUCAUCGAACCCCGAUAACUCGUGCUCGGUGCUACCCUCUCUGCGCCUGCAAGGCUAGAACGGUGCGUGCGUCAGUGUGUGAGCCCAAUCCCGGGAAGUGCGUGAAGUGAGUUGUGGUGGUGGGCUGAAAAACGGUGCUGUUAAACCUCACCCUCGCCGCCCCACCGCUGUUCUGUAAUCGACGCCCAAACACAAUCCCGAAACGAAAAAAAAAGAAAAUCUCACGUACAGCCAGCACAACUGCGGCGGCGGCGAUCGAAGGAUAGAGCUUGUGGCGUGCCCGCAAAACCACUCGUCUCGCAGCAGACCGAAAGAGCGACAAGACAAACGAACUAUGUCGAGUCAACAGAAGCAUCGAAUUCAGGUUCCGGACGGGCUACGGGAUGUGCUGCUGGAGUUCUCGAUAGCAUAUCUGCUGGAGCAGCCCGGCGACGUGAUCGAUUACGCAGUGACGUUCUUCACAAAGCUACAGGAAGACCGCAAAACAACGAUGAUCACGUCUGCCGAACCGACCUCGCCAGACGAGAGCAUAAUGUCGCACGAUGAAGAACCACUUGUGAAUCGGUAUGCAACACGCAGGAAAUCCGUGUUUGCCGAAACGUACGAUCCGGAGAAUGAUGACGAAGAUGAGGGUGCUCGAGCAAUAUUCCCCAAGACGGAUGAACAGCGAGCACGGUUGUGUGAUUCCGUUAAAAAUAUUCUCCUUUUCCGUUCAUUGGACAAAGAACAGAUGAACGAAGUGCUAGAUGCGAUGUUCGAAAAGAUUGUUCAAUCUAAAGACUACAUCAUCAAACAGGGAGAUGAUGGUGACAACUUUUACGUCAUUGAGUCCGGUACAUACUUCGCGUAUGUCGGUGAAGAACAGAAGCACAUACAUACCUACGAUAACAGAGGAAGCUUUGGAGAGCUGGCACUACUGUACAACAUGCCGAGAGCUGCCACAAUUCAAGCGGAAACUGAUGGUAAAUUGUGGGCAAUGGAUCGCCAAACAUUCCGAAGAAUUCUGCUAAAGUCUGCGUUUAGGAAACGGAAAAUGUACGAAGCCCUUCUGGAUGCAGUUCCAAUGCUAAAAACACUACAGAACUAUGAACGGAUGAAUUUGGCAGAUGCUCUGAUACCUCAAACGUACGCUAAAGGUGAUCGUAUUAUCAAGCAAGGUGACGCUGCUGAUGGCAUGUACUUUAUCGAGGAUGGCAAAGUAUCCAUCCGCAUCCAGCAGGAUGCAGGAGAGGUAGAAAUUUCCAAUUUAGAAAAGGGAGGAUAUUUUGGCGAGCUCGCUUUAGUGACACACAGGCCACGAGCCGCUUCCGCUUACGCAGUCGACAAUGUGAAAGUGGCAUUUUUGGACGUGGACGCGUUUGAACGUCUUCUUGGACCGUGCAUGAAUAUCAUGAAGCGCAACAUUGGAGAUUACGAAACACAGCUAGUGAAAAUUUUCGGCAGCAAAAACAACAUCACCGAUAUCCGAUAAAGCGACACCAUUGGAUGGCCAUUAAUUUAUCGGCUCUAUUGACGCGAGGACUAUUCUCACGUUUUUUUUCCUGUUACGAAUGAACACAGCGUUGCUAGAUCCGGAAGCUCGGAGCUUAGUUAUUUAUGUUGAACGAGGUAGUAUUAUUUAAGGAUAAUAUGAGUAAAAUCAGCAAAACAUAAAGGAUAAAAUCAAUAACAAAAGCGAUGCUGAUAAUAAAAUAGUUUGCUGACAAAAACCAGUGACAGUUUGCGUGAACAAACAAGAUUGAAAACUCAGAACAAAUAGUAAGAAGAAACGAAUCGAUAACGCUGACAUCGUGCAUACUUUCAUUCAAACGUAUCAAAUAACAGCACGAAGGAUUAGAACAAUGCCAUACAAACGAAAUGAUUUAGAUAGUAAGCAGCAGUAAAUUGCAGUACGAGGAACAGUAUCCAAACAGAAACAAAAUGUAUGUGAGUGAAAAAAAUAUCAGGUGCGUAGGUUUGCUUAAUAAAACAUGAGAAAGAAUAUAUCAGUCUAUAUAAUUUUUCGUUAACCCCGAAGUUAGGCAACAGUACCAGUAAACAGUGGAGUAGGAAAACUGAGUAAAAUAUUCCACAAUACACACAAUACAUAUAAAAAGGUAUUUUCAAACAGACGGCGAUCAAGUAGACGAUUACAUUCAGUGUGAAAAUAUAGUUUAAUUUGAUAUCAACCGAACAGAAAAACCAGUUAAGGCGAAUAGUAAAAGAAACUAUACUUGUAAAGCUUCGUUUAAGUCAUGUCUAAGAAUGUAUUGCGAUGAAAACCAUUUGCACCAUACGACUGUUGACUGCAUGUGCAAAAUAACACAAAAGCAUUUGCUCAUAACAGACAUGAGUUUGUAAAACAGAAAACGCACGGAAAAACUGCGUAGAGAAACCCAUAUAUUCCCAAAAAAAAAACGAUUAUGAUGGAGAUCUUGAUAUUAAUAUUUUUAUCGGUCAAUGUCCUUAAAGACGCCACCCCAAAAUAGAAAUGAAAUAGUAAAGCUGUAUAACUCUGAUGGCAACUUGUUCAAUAUACUCUGAAGCGUCUUCGAAGAUGAAUCUCUCGUAACAUCAAUAGCCACCGCAUGUUCACACAGUGCUUUGAUCAUUUCGAACUUUCCGAGCGCUUUGAACGGUUUCACGUAGAAGCAAAUCCAACCAUAAUCCUAUUAGACCAAAACAUGCAUACAAAACUGAAACCGAAACUAGGUUGGAGUUGUCGUAGAGGGUGCGUAAAUUCAUUGGAGAGCUAAGUUGAAUUUUGUAUGGUUUUUCACGUUCAACAUAUCACGGUAGCGCGUUUGUACGAUGGAUUGUGGCGAUGCUGAGUGUAACUUUAACGCAAUGGUACUGCUACACCCGGUACACUAGCUUCGUACCAACUCCAAAGCUUCCUAGAGUGGACCGUAGCAUUGCUUUACGCUACGGCUACGGACGGUCUCAACGCACUAAAGCCGUAAUCGUAGGAAUACAAAACGAAGCAGUAGUGUAGUCUCAAUAAAAGGGCAACGCACAAUCGCUCUUAAUUACCUGUUGAUGAUGGAAGCGCUGUUUAAACGGCUACAGCAUGCAGGAAGCCAUUCCGAGGGUUUCAAUGACCUAUCCUAGCACAAUCGCAUAAUGAAUGGAUCUUUCUGUAUCACACCCGCGUCUGUAACUGUCCGCAAUACCUCUAGAAAAGAACUAAAAAUCAGCCCCAGCCCAGCACUAAAGGAACCAGAGGAGAGAGAAAGGCGUGAAAAUAAAUAUUACAAAAACAUAGAAGAGAGAAAUGAGGCGUGCAAUGAAAAUGUAAGAACAAAAGAGAAUAUGGCGGAGACUAACAAAUAAUAAGAAAAAAAUCGUUGACAUCUUAAAUGUGCCCUUUUAUCCAUGAGAUGAUAUACAUAUAAAUGAGAUGAAAUAUCUUUAAUCUUACUUAGUCGCACGGCAAGAAAUGCUACGCAGGCAGCAUAACGCUCAUUCAAACUCACCCGAUCCCACGCUGGACGUCCUGUGAGACGGCUGAAAACUUCCUGAGACAGGAAUGUGCAAAAACAAGUGGCAAUUCGGGCACCACCGGGUGCUGAGGGAAAGUCGAUAAGUUAUGCCACAGGCAUUCGUUGAGGAAGGCAUUUUCGAACUUCUACACUUGUAGUAUUUUUGUUAGGUAUAUGAAGAGAGCUUAUAUGAAAAUGAUGGAGAGGAAAAACAAAAACCAAACAAACCUAAAUCAAGCGGUCUGACCAGGAAGCGCCGUGUCCGUGACAUUCAAAUAUGACGACGUACAAUAUGAUUGGAAAAUGAAACAAAAAUUACAUGCGAUCACGCGGAUACAUUCAGUCACGCAGAGGUGUAUAAGCGCAGGAAAAACAAACUAAAAAAAACCAGGCAUGUAAGGCUUCUACAUGCGAUGCUUCGCGAUCCUUCAGAUCCAACAGUCAAUAGUGUAAACAAUAGUGCAAAAUCGCGAUCAAGAUAUCUGAAGAUUUGUAUUCGUGUGUGCGACAAAUCUAUCACCAGCAACUUUCUUUGUUGAUUAGGCUGAUGUAUUGGUUUGGUGUUUAGCAGGCCAUCCUGAAGAAUCAAAAUAUUGUUUCAAAUAUUUCAAAACAAAUAUGAUACCCAUCGGAUCCAAUGUGAGAGUGCGUUCAAUAUUGCAAGUGUGAUUUAAUUCCCAUCCCAUGCCCCACAUGCCACUGGAAAUGCGCAGGCAAAUUUAGUUAGUUUAUUGAUCUAAGGCUUAGCCACUAUCUAGCCACUAGAUGAGGCAUUCGCGCAUGUGCAAAUUGCGGCACUGGCAUUGACUAGUGACGAAACGUCUCGGCUUCCAUCCGCAGGGAUGUUUCCAUCCGCAUGCCAUCAUGUUGCGCCCCACAGAAAAUGCUGGCCAUUUUCGUUUUAAGCGUUGUUUAUUUAAUGAUAAUUUUACCGUACAUCGAAGCGUUUAGCCAUGCUUAAUCGAUUAAUUAAGACUACACCAACGGUAGAUCUUAAAGGCAGCACGUAUCAAAACACUAUUUGCUUUGUUCUUCUUAGAAAUUAGUUCUCUUACGAUUUCUUGUUAAAUGUUACAAUUUUUAAAAUAGGAAUUCAAGCCACUGAAAACUAGAGAAUAUUUUUUCGGCCGUUUGGAUGCAAUUUUGUUUGGCAAACGAAAGUAAAAAAUAGCAACAAAAUUGUUCGCCUGAAAAAUAGUCUGUUGUAAUGUGGUAGUAGAAGCAUCCACUCCAUUGAUUCCUUCCAUCGACUAACUAACAUUGCGUUUUACUAGCAAGGGCAGAUAGAUGUGAAAAAUGUUUGAAAUUUCGUUCCUUCACGAUUUACUCAAGUUCUUACGCAAGAAUUGUAUAUCCGUGCCCCCAAAUAAACCUUAUCGGCGAGGUAUGAUGAUGUAACGUACAGGACAUUCAAAUGAUAUUGCCAGCUCAAUGCUUCCUGACAUCACGCGCAUUCAUAGAUGAAGAUAAAAAUGCGUGCGAAAGUAUUAGUUUGGACCUAUGUAUUGGUAUAACCUGCUUACGUGUGGGAAGGCCCUUGUUUUGGAGAGUAUCAAUAUCAUCAGUCCAGUGUAGUCUCAGUCUCCGUCUAAUUUCGUUCCAAGCGACGGUUCAGUUGGCAGUUUUAAAGAAAACAGGAAAUCAAUGCAAAACCCAAAUAAAAGAUCUAUGCGUAACAAAACAAUUGAAAAAGAAGAAAAAAAGAUUUAACAAAACAACAUGUUGCUGUCUCGUUAAUGAAGGUGUCGUAUUUAAAAAAUAAAAAUGAAAGUAGAAACAAAUCAUACGCCAAUGUGUACAAAAACGUAUCGCUGUAGUUAAUUUUGUGUCGUUUGUUUAGCUUC